rnacentral:lncRNA from 1 species
CUUCUCCAGGUGAAAUUGCCCUGCUGAUGAAUCGUCCUCGGGCUGCCACUGUGGUUGCGCGUGGCCCUUUGAAGUGCGUUAAGUUGGACCGACCUCGGUUUGAACGCGUCCUUGGCCCAUGCUCAGAUAUCCUCAAGCGAAACAUCCAGCAGUACAACAGCUUUGUGUCACUGUCCGUCUGAGAUCCGCCUCCUGUGCCUCUCCUCCCCAGUCUAUGCUUCACUCACGCAGACUGCUUUCUCCUCCCUCUCUGCAGCGCCAAGUGGCCACUGGCUUCACAGCUUCUUGUCUCUGUAUACUAAAGGUUGCUUUAUUGCACCAUUUUCCAUUGGAGCGUUACUGAAUGCUCACUCACAAAUAAAUAGAGUUGUAUGGACUCGGCUGUCACCGCUUCUCUGUGCAGUGCUAGUGUUCAACCUGGGCAGCCAGUGCCGUGCUUUCUGCUGAGGGCGGUCCCUGCACCAUGAAUUACCAUAAUGAUGUAAUAACAGUGCGGGGGUUUUAAGUGACAUGGAUUUCCAUUUCCAUAUGACACAAGUGACAUAUUUAGACUGUGGCCAUGUUUGCUGUAUUUCUUUAUAGAAUAAAUGACUUUAACCUUUAAGGAAUAGAAGAAUGAAUAUAGAAAAAUCCUAGCACAGUAGAAAGACUCCUGCCUGUAAUUAAAGUAGCUUAAGUGUGGGAAGUGCCCAUGUUUUGCUAAUUACCAGACACAUUCAACUAGUUCAGUCCCCUCUCAGCCUGGUUUGGUUUGUCUGUGGCUAGUGUUUCUUCUCCAACUCUGAAAUACUUUGGUGUGGCUGGCUGUCUAUACCUGCCUUUAAGUUGAAAUCAAGCCGUAGAUGGCAAGUACUGGGUGGUGACCUAACCACGCCUGUCAGAGCUCACAGGUUCUGAUAACUUUACCCUGCUGGUGCCAAAUGCUGAAGAGGUGCAGGAUAGUGAGGGCGGGGGCGUCACUCGGGAGUUAACUGCGUAACUGUGUGAUCGGCCCUCACGCCCUCACUGAGGGUUCUCGGACGUUGGAGUUACUUAGACAACAGGCUCCAGAGAGAAGGGAAUGGAGGCAGUGUUGCUAAGGCGGAUGGAGUGUAGGUGUCCAGAAACAGGAAGCUGUGUGUCUGGGUUUAUGUUACCAGGUGGGUAGGGCGUGGCUGUGCUGUGGUCUGAUAGGCCAUCCUGCUGAGAGUCCUGCCUUUUCCUGUCUAACCUUGAAUUUCUCUGGUAAACUUUCUUUAUUGUUUUUUGUUUGUUUGUGUGUGUGUGUGUUUAAAGUAAACUUGUGUUCUCAACUGUAUUUCAGUAUUUUAUGUGUUACAUUAUUCCAAUGAUAACCCAACAGUUUAUUUUUAUUACUGUUAUUUUUUAAACAAAAUUCCGUAACUAGGCAUGUUUAUCUUGUGACUUAUGUACAAUGUCGGGUUCUAUUUGGGAGUGACUGUGUUUUCCAUGGGUGUGCAAGUGGGCCUGAUUAAUAAUCCCCUCCCUCCUUUCCCAGUUAACUUAAAUUGUUGGGUACGGUAGAUUUUUUUUUUUUCUUGGUAGCUUAAAAAGCUGUUAGAUUGUUACUAACUUGGGAAAAAGUUUCAUUUAGGUUUUAGUGUGGGGUAGAAAGCUGCCUUGUUGCCAUAUCUAAAACUUCCAUAAUCUAUAUUAAAUGAGGGUUUCUGUACUUCCUUUGUGGUUGGCUAUCUUUUUUAUAUUUAAAAAAAUAAAAAUUAUGUUACUAGCUUAAAGCUUAAUUUGAUAUUUGUUUAAAUGCCAAAACAAUGUACUUAAGUGAAUGAUGUAGCACGCCGUAAAAUGCAUUUCAUGUGUGUGGAUCCCCUUGGUCUGUACGGAGGGAGAUACACGCCCCGCUUUCUAAGUGUCCCACGCAAUGCUAGCUCGCUAUGCACUCCCUUUUGUAGUUUUACUUAGAGUUUUCAAGAUAAGUCUAAAUUUAAAAAUUACCACGUUUAAAGCUCUAUCUUUGUGCAAUUUAAAUCAGUCAGAAGUCAUGGUUGGCAUACUGUGUCCUUGUGGACUCUAGGCACCGGUGUCCCUGGAUGGGUGGGUGAAUUUAGGAGAUCUGCUGAGAAAGUGGAGCUGGCCAAAGGGACAGUUGCUGUUUCCUGGACACUAGUCUGAUACACUCUGUGCUAAUCUAAUCGCUGUUCUUUUGUUACACACUGUUCCAUGGUAGGUCACAGAAUAAAAAGAUGAAAUCAUUUAAAUUCUUAAA